GACGGAGGAUGCAAGCGUUAUCCGGAAUGAUUGGGCGUAAAGCGUCCGCAGGUGGCAGUUCAAGUCUGCUGUCAAAGACCGGGGCUUAACUUCGGAAAGGCAGUGGAAACUGAACAGCUAGAGUAUGGUAGGGGCAGAGGGAAUUCCUGGUGUAGCGGUGAAAUGCGUAGAUAUCAAGAAGAACAUCGGUGGCGAAGGCGCUCUGCUGGACCAUAACUGACACUCAGGGACGAAAGCUAGGGGAGCGAAUGGG
rnacentral:rRNA from 1 species